rnacentral:lncRNA from 13 species
AUGAUUAAGUCAACAUGGAUCCUUCCUGACAGGAUGUUACACGGAUGGCAUGUGCUCAAGGCUCCCGGGAAUCUCUGGUAUGCAUGGAUGGCUACCGUGCAUGUCGUCCAUCCGAAUAGUUUCCAUUCACUGGGUCUGACGGGGAGUUCGGAGUGGACAGAUAAAAAUAGAUUCAGUGCAGUGGUGCUGCCGAAGAAAGACAUGGAAUUCAGAAAACUAUUGCAACAUCUUAUGAUGGAUUUGGGAAGGUGCCUUGGAGCAGUGAUGAAAUUUAACAUCGACUGUUUGGUGAUGUUGUUGACACUGCCUGUGUUAUAAGGGCCUCCAGAUGGUUCUGAGUGUGGAGGAUGUGAGCAGCCCCAGUGGGGUGCGCUCGAUGCGCAGGGUGGCCCAGGCCUUCCCUGACGGUACCCUCCUGCUGGAGCUCAGCAGGCCUCCCAAAGGACCCUUCGGCUUCCUCAUCUCCCGGGGCAAAGGACGACCCGACUCAGGUACACAAAAUAAGUGUUUUACACUACAGCCAUUUACACCGGUACUUGUCCUAAAGUCUAGUGUUUCCAUGACUUAGACUGGGGCCAAAAGCCUAGGGUUGGUCCUAGAUGGCCUACCCUGCUCUAACCCAGGGCCGUCUGGGGCCAGAUUGGGGACUUGUUGUUUUGGUUGUCUUUCUAAUCUAGUGUUGUGUAAUGAUGUCCUGUUCAUUAGAAUGUUCCCCUUCUGUGUGCUCAAGGUGUGAAUAUUUUAUUGUUAACUUACUUCACUCGUGUCCUGCAGUUAGAUGUGUGUUUAGUAAUAUAAAACAUACAACCUUAGGAUACAGGAGAGCAACAUAUUACCUAAGGUUGUAUGUUUUAUAUUAGUUGUGUGUGUGUGUGUGUGUUAGGAUACAGGAGAGCAACAUAUUACCUAAGGUUGUAUGUUUUAUAUUAGUUGUGUGUGUGCGUGCCCCUCCCC